rnacentral:misc_RNA from 1 species
AACGAGGCCGACCUGCGGCUGAGUUACCUGCGGAGGGAUCAUUACCAGUACCACCGUCGCCUCCGGGCGUCGGUCUACUACCAACCCUUUGUCAUCCGACCUCGUUGCCUCCGGGUGCGACCCUGACCUUCGGGUCUCGCGUCUCCCCGGGUGGACACACAUCAAAACUCUGCAUAACUUUGUAGUCUGAGUAAAACUUUUAAUUAAAUUAAAACUUUCAACAACGGAUCUCAGAUCGGA